GCCUCGGCGAGCGCGGUAGAGCCGCCUCGGGCCGCCCGGGAUGCCGGGGAAAAAGAAGCUGCAGCCCACCCGCCGCGGCUCCCGGCCCGGGCGGAGGCGGCCACAUCCCCGGACGGGAGCUGAGCGUCUCUCCGUGCCGCCAGAGCUCCCCUGAGCCUCUCCACCGAGCCUGAUCGCCCUGUGCCGCUGCCCCAGCUCAGCAUCGCCCCUGAAACUGGCCCUGUGUCCACCGGCCGCCCCCAGGGCAGGGCGGCCGUCCAGGUGCCCCUGCAGAAGGAGGGGCUUGUGCGAGGUACCUGCAGUAAUAACAGAGGCCGCAACUGAGCGUCUGAGUGCCCAUUCUUCCCCAAAACAUCCGCAGGCGAUGCCAGUGACUGCACCCACCUGGGGCUUGCAUCGGUCGAAUCAAGAUCUUUCUGGAAAUUCUCUAUUUCCUGUUACUCCUUCGCCAGUGAACAACAGUUUACUUCAUGAUGACCCUGGCUUUCAAGAGGUGGUGAGUUUGUGUUAGAAGUUAAAAAUUUGGGAGCGUUUUUAUGAAGCUGAAUGCAUUUUGCAUUUCUGCAAAAAACAGUGCUUGCUUUAGGUCUCAAAAUGUGCUUUAACACAGUAUUAGGAUACUUCAGAAUCCUCUAAUAACAGGGUCUACCAAACCAAACUAUGUUUUUUUCCUGCAAGAAUAUCUUAAAGGUAUAUAGCUUAAGAAAGCUAAAAAAGGUGAAGUCUGCAAAGCUCUUUCCUGCACUGUGUUCCAAAUGGUGGGACAAGUUGACCUCAUUGGACUCCAACCAUGCAAGCAACAGCUUCUUCACCUAAUAGGGAACAUCUUAGUUCUUCUCAAUUCAGAAAUACCCAGAAGAAGUUUAAAAUGUGCUAAAACCUAAUCUAAAACUCAAUCAUCAAUGCCCAACUUCGGGAAACAACAGUUUGAGGGUUUUUGGCCUAAACCUGCACAUGCCUCUUUAGGUCUCUCCUUCAUGAUUUACUUUCACAGCAGUAGGUGACAAGAACCCACACUUCACUUCCCCUCUACAAGACUCUGGUGCAUCAGACCAGUAUCACCCUAAUCUCUUGUCUGAGAUAUUCCACAAAGCAAGGAAACUGGUCUCUUCAGGUGAAAAUCUGUUCAUCAAACCCACUCCCCAAACACAUCCUGAAGCUUCUGAAUCUGAUGAGUCUGUGGACUGGUAGGACUGAAGAAACCCAGCCUGUAAUGUGAGUUUCCAACUGUGGACAGUGCUCACCGAGUCUGGCUGGGGACUGGCCAGCCUUGGAACUGCAGAAGGAGCAGUCUGGGUCAAAUUGUUGGCUGCAAUUUGAGCAGGAAAAUGGAGAGCAUCUGUUCCCCCUCUAUGGGUGGGGCCUGCCCUCCCAUCCUCCCAGGCUGUGCCCCGAGAAGAGCUGGUGCUUGUAUGGAUUUCCCCAUCUCCUCUGCUCCGUUUGAAGGCUCAGGUGCACACCUCCCCCUCUGUGCUUGCUGAUGAACCCAUUCCUCAGUACCAGGGCAGUGCACCAGCACACACCACCAGCUCCAUCCCAUUUCCUGCUUGCCAAGAGGAUGCAUUGCAGUGUGUCUCACAUGACAGUCUGUUGAAGCUUCAGCAGAAAGUGAUCCCAUCAUGAGUACGCCUCAACAAAUCUGCCUCAGUUUACCUUGGCAGGUUGCCAGGCAGGUUGCUCACUUGGGAAUCUUUCAAUGUCCUUUCCUUGUUGGAAUUUUUUGUUCUACAUCGACUUUAAAAUUCAUUAAACCAGGUUUGAAGAACUUGCAGAUGUGCAUGCCUUUACAGUACCAACAGGCACUGCAGUCACAAAUAUGUACCAAAUAGAGAUGAAGAAAUUAAAGGAUUACGAUGCUUGUUUUCCUUAUGUGAGGACUAGCUGCCAAUUUAGCCUUAAAUCAGGAUGUCUCUGUUCUAACUUUGCCAUGAAAAACUUGUCUACUUUUCUGAACUAUACUAGUUGUCAUAAAAUAGCUUUAUUCUCAAACAUUCUGUUAUUUUAUAGUCUGUUGUUUUUUUUUGUCUUAGUCAUAAUGCAUGCAAAAUAAAGUUCUUUAAAAUUUCCUCUUCACGAUGUAAACAACUCAAAUUUCUAUUUCUCUAAAUGUACCAUGUUCAGCCAUAGCAGUGUACAGUACAGAGCCCAAUGGGUUAACAAUUUCUUUAUUAGCAGUACCUUCAGACUUAUCCUUUUCUCCCUGUCAGAAUCAAACUGCACAAUUCAAGACUGCAGAGUUAUCCUGAAUUGGCCACAUCCAACUGACUGUGAACUGCACCAAGCAGGAUGAAAGAAAGAGAAAAUGGCAAAGCUGUGACAAUGAUGAGUACUGAAGAUAAUAAAAGGAGACAAAGACAGUGUGGCCAAAACUGGGGAAAAAAACCCCAACAAAUCCCAAGAAAAAGACAUAUUAAUACUGUAUUUUAAAUUAUUAUAUUUGCUUCAUCUUCAAACUUUAUUAAAGAAGGAAUGUUCAAGA